CCCUUAGAUGUUCUGGGCUGCACGCGCGCUACACUGAAGCGUUCAACGAGUAUUCACCUUGCCCGGGAGGGUUGGGUAAUCUUUUGAAAACGCUUCGUGAUGGGGAUAGAUUAUUGCAAUUAUUAAUCUUCAACGAGGAAUUCCUAGUAAGCGCGAGUCAUCAGCUCGUGCUGAUUACGUCCCUGCCCUUUGUACACACCGCCCGUCGCACCUACCGAUCGAAGGUAAUGAUGAGCCCUCAGGAUUGUGGCCUCGUCGCGUCAGCGUCUUGGCUGCGAGAAUCUGUGCAAAUCCCUACCUUUAGAGGAAGGUGAAGUCGUAACA
rnacentral:rRNA from 1 species